GAUGAACGCUAGCGGCAGGCUUAACACAUGCAAGUCGAGGGGUAUUUAUCUUCGGAUAGAGAGACCGGCGCACGGGUGCGUAAUGCGUAUGCAAUCUACCUUUUACAGAGGGAUAGCCCAGAGAAAUUUGGAUUAAUACCUCAUAGUAUAAUGACCUGGCAUCAGGAUGUUAUUAAAGUCACAACGGUAAAAGAUGAGCAUGCGUCCCAUUAGCUAGUUGGUAAGGUAACGGCUUACCAAGGCUACGAUGGGUAGGGGUCCUGAGAGGGAGAUCCCCCACACUGGUACUGAGACACGGACCAGACUCCUACGGGGAGGCAGCAGUGAGGAAUAUUGGACAAUGGGCGCAAGCCUGAUCCAGCCAUGCCGCGUGCAGGAUGACGGU
rnacentral:rRNA from 1 species